rnacentral:rRNA from 1 species
AGAGUUUGAUCCUGGCUCAGGAUAAACGCUGGCGGCGUGCUUUACCAAUGCGAGUCGGACGCGCCGUCCUACGGGGCGGCGAGUGGCGGCCGGGUGCGUAACACGUGGGUGACCUGACCAGGCGUGGGGGAUACCCGCCCGAAAGGGCGGCUAAUACCGCAUGCGCUCCCCCCUCGAGUGGGGGGAGCAAAGCCCCGGCCCGAGGAGGGCGGGGGCGCGUUUGGAGGGGCCCGCGGCCUAUCAGCUAGUCGGUGGGGUAACGGCCUACCGAGGCGGUGACGGGUAGCCGGUCUGAGAGGACGGACGGCCACACUGGGACUGAGACAUGGUCCAGAGCCCUACGGGGUUUAGCAUGGAGGAAUCUUGCGCAACGGGGGCAACCCCGGCGCAGCAACGCCGCGUGGGGGAGGAAGGCCUUCGGGUCGUAAACCCCUGUUGUCCGGGAAGAAGUACCUCGGGGGGGAGCCCCGGGGGAAGACGGUACCGGACGAGGAAGCCCCGGCUAACUACGUGCCAGCAGCCGCGGUAAUACGUAGGGGGCGAGCGUUAUCCGGAUUCAUUGGGCGUAAAGGGCGCGUAGGCGGCCCCCAGCAGUGGCGCGUGGAAUCUCCCGGCUCACCCGGGAGGGGCCGUGCCAGACGGGGGGGCUGGAGGCGGGUAGAGGGUCGCGGAACGGGCGGAGUAGGGGUGAAAUCCGUAGAGACCGUCCGGAACACCGAUGGCGGAGGCAGCGACCUGGGCCCGUCCUGACGCUGAGGCGCGAAAGCGUGGGGAGCGAACGGAAUUAGAUACCCCGGUAGUCC